rnacentral:rRNA from 1 species
UAAUACGUAGGGUGCAAGCGUUAUCCGGAUUUACUGGGCGUAAAGAGUUCCGUAGGCGCCCCGUUGCAUCUUGUUUGAAAUCCCACCGCUUAACGGUGGAAACGGGCAAGAGAUGAGCGGGGUUGAGUCUGUUCGGGGAAGCUGGAAUUGACGGAGGAGGGGUGAAAUCCGUUGAGAUCGUCAAGAACACCGAGGGCGAAGGCAGGCUUCUAGGACGGCACUGACGCUGAGGGACGAAAGCUAGGGUAGCAAACUGGAUUAGAGACCCAGGUAGUCCUAGCCGUAAACGAUGGAUACUAGCUGGUCCGACGCAAGUCGGACUGGCGUAAGCUAACGCGUUAAGUAUCCCGCCUGGGGAGUACGACCGCGAGGUUA